UUGGAAUCUGAUUUGUUCACUGGUCGGAAUUAUCUUGCACAGAAGUUUAUUCAAUUAUUUAUCGAAAAUAACGAUAAUAAUUAUGCAUUUUCGAAAAUACUAUUGAAGUAUUUAGGGGAAGGGGGGGAGACAAAACGUGGUACCCCCAAAAUUUUAUAAAAAAAAAACUUGCUGGAAAUUUGAAAUGACGUCAGCCAAGAAACUAAAAGAAUUGUCUGCUGGUCUGGAAGUUUCGGGAUGGGGUGAGUGAUCUUCGUUUAUCAAAUGUAUAAUUUUUUACAAUUGAAUAGUUUUACCAAUUCAACAAUAUUUUUAAGCUAUUAAAUGCCGAGC